rnacentral:rRNA from 1 species
GCGCCGUAGCAAUACGGAGCGGCAGACGUGAGAGUAACACGUGGGAACGUGCCCUUUGGUUCGGAAUAACUCAGGGAAACUUGAGCUAAUACCGGAUAAGCCCUUACGGGGAAAGAUUUAUUGCCAGUUGGAGCGGCCCGCGUCGGAUUGGCUAGUUGGUGAGGUAAUGGCUCACCAAGGCGACGAUCCGUAGCUGGUCUGAGAGGAUGACCAGCCUCACUGGGACUGAGACACGGCCCAGACUCCUGCGGGAGGCAGCAGUGGGGAAUAUUGGACAAUGGGCGCAAGCCUGAUCCAGCCAUGCCGCGUGGAUGAUGAAGGCCCUAGGGUUGUAAAGUCCUUUUAACGGGGAAGAUAAUGACGGUACCCGUAGAAUAAGCCCCGGCUAACUUCGUGCCAGCAGCCGCGGUAAUACGAAGGGGGCUAGCGUUGCUCGGAAUUACUGGGCGUAAAGCGCACGUAGGCGGAUCGAUAAGUCGGGGGUGAAAUCCUGGAGCUCAACUCCAGAACUGCCUUCGAAACUGCCGGUCUUGAGUUCGGGAGAGGUGAGUGGAACUGCGAGUGUAGAGGUGAAAUUCGUAGAUAUUCGCAAGAAC